CCUACGGGUGGCUGCAGUGGGGAAUAUUGGACAAUGGGCGAAAGCCUGAUCCAGCCAUGCCGCGUGUGUGAAGAAGGCCUUCGGGUUGUAAAGCACUUUCAGUGGGGAAGAAAGCCUUGGGGCUAAUACCCUCGAGGAAGGACAUCACCCACAGAAGAAGCACCGGCUAACUCCGUGCCAGCAGCCGCGGUAAUACGGAGGGUGCGAGCGUUAAUCGGAAUUACUGGGCGUAAAGCGCGCGUAGGCGGUCUGAUAAGCCGGUUGUGAAAGCCCCGGGCUCAACCUGGGAACGGCAUCCGGAACUGUCAGGCUAGAGUGCAGGAGAGGAAGGUAGAAUUCCCGGUGUAGCGGUGAAAUGCGUAGAGAUCGGGAGGAAUACCAGUGGCGAAGGCGGCCUGCUGGACUGAUACUGACGCUGAGGUGCGAAAGCGUGGGUAGCAAACAGGAUUAGAUACCCUUGUAGUC
rnacentral:rRNA from 1 species